AUACGGAGGAUCCGAGCGUUAUCCGGAUUUAUUGGGUUUAAAGGGUGCGCAGGCGGCCAUUUAAGUCAGCGGUUAAAUCGUGGGGCUCAACCCCAUUCUGCCGUUGAUACUGGGUGGCUUGAUUGCGGUCGAGGUUGGCGGAAUUCGUUGUGUAGCGGUGAAAUGCAUAGAUAUGACGAAGAACACCGAUUGCGUAGGCAGCUGACCAGACCGCAAAUGACGCUCAUGCACGAAAGUGCGGGGAUCGAACAGGAUUAGAUACCCUGGUAGUCUGCACAGUAAACGAUGAAUACUUGUUUUCGGCGAUAUAAUGUCGGAGGCAAAGCGAAAGCGAUAAGUAUUCCACCUGGGGAGUACGCCGGCAACGGUGAAACUCAAAGGAAUUGACGGGG
rnacentral:rRNA from 1 species